AAGGCGGCCCCUGGACAAGGCUGACGCUCAGGUGCGAAGCGUGGGGAGCAAACAGGAUUAGAUACCUGGUAGUCCACGCUGUAAACGAUGUCGAUUUGGAGGUUGUUCCCUUGAGGAGUGGCUUCCGGAGCUAACGCGUUAAAUCGACCGCCUGGGGAGUACGGCCGCAAGGUUAAAACUCAAAUGAAUUGACGGGGGCCCGCACAAGCGGUGGAGCAUGUGGUUUAAUUCGAUGCAACGCGAAGAACCUUACCUACUCUUGACAUCCAGAGAAUUUAGCAGAGAUGCUUUAGUGCCUUCGGGAACUCUGAGACAGGUGCUGCAUGGCUGUCGUCAGCUCGUGUUGUGAAAUGUUGGGUUAAGUCCCGCAACGAGCGCAACCCUUAUCCUUUGUUGCCAGCACGUUAUGGUGGGAACUCAAAGGAGACUGCCGGUGAUAAACCGGAGGAAGGUGGGGAUGACGUCAAGUCAUCAUGGCCCUUACGAGUAGGGCUACACACGUGCUACAAUGGCGUAUACAAAGAGAAGCGACCUCGCGAGAGCAAGCGGAACUCAUAAAGUACGUCGUAGUCCGGAUUGGAGUCUGCAACUCGACUCCAUGAAGUCGGAAUCGCUAGUAAUCGUAGAUCAGAAUGCUACGGUGAAUACGUUCCCGGGCCUUGUACACACCGCCCGUCACACCAUGGGAGUGGGUUGCAAAAGAAGUAGGUAGCUUAACCUUCGGGAGGGCGCUUACCACUUUGUGAUUCAUGACUGGGGUGAAGUCGUAACAAGGUAACCA
rnacentral:rRNA from 1 species